rnacentral:rRNA from 1 species
UCCUACACGACGGCGAGUUUAGCUAUCUUAGCUUUAGGCCGGUUGUUUUUAAGGUCUCACACUGGCCGUUCGUUUNACAGCUUAACACAUGCAGUCGAGCGGGGAAGGUUGCUUCGGUAACUGACCUACGGCGGACGGGUGAGUAAUGCUUAGGAAUCUGCCAUAGUGGGGGACAACAUUCCGAAAGGAAUGCUAAUACCGCAUACGUACCUACGGGAGAAAGCAGGGGAUCUUCGGACCUUGCGCUAAAUGAUGAGCCUAAGUCGGAUUAGCUAGUUGGUGGGGUAAAGGCCUACCAAGGCGACGAUCUAGUAGCGGGUCUAGAGAGGAUAGAUCCGCCACACUGGGACUAGAGACACGGCCCAGACUACCUACGGGAGGCAGCAGUGGGGAAUAUUGGACAAUGGAGCGGAAGCCUAGAUACCAGCCAUAGCCGCGUAGUAGUGAAGAAGGGCCUUAUAGGUUUAGUAAAGCACUUUUAAGCGAGGAAGGGGGCUACCAGUAUUAAUACU